rnacentral:tRNA from 1 species
UCCCUGGUGGCUAAGAUGGUAAAGAAUCUACCUGCGAUGUGGGAGACCUAGGUUUGAUCCCCGGCUAGGGAA